AUUUGACUCAAUUAGAUUGCGAUGAAUAUAAAAAUAUAUGUGAUAAAUUAAAAUGAGAUCAUUCUUAAUAUUACAUAUUUUAUGUAUACACAAACGUCAUAAUCAUAAUUUUACUGAAAAUUUUCACAAUAUUUAGCAGAACUCUUAUAAGAUUGUCCAUAGAAUGAAAGUUAAAGCUUAAAAGCAAAUAAAAGAGGUAGGGGAGGAUAGGGUCUUGAAAAUGCCUCAAUUCUACAAGAAGCAAAGUAUUAUGAAAUAAACAACAAAUAUGAACAGUAACAGUAAAUAAAGAUAGAUACAAAUUUACCUAAAUAAUUAAUUUAAAAGAAGUUAGGGUUUGAGCUUUGAAAAAUUAAGUAGACAUACAAAGCAUACAAUAUUACAUCUGCCUCACUCAAAAAGUCUUCGGGAUGAUAUAUACUUUUGAGAUCCGGUUAUUAUAAAAUUAACUUCAUGAUAAGUUGGUCAAUUGAUCUCAAAAUUAACUUUAUGCUAACCACUCUCAUACUUCAUGGU
rnacentral:lncRNA from 1 species